GUAUGAAUAACUGAUCAGCAAGAACUAUAUAGGUGUUAUAUAGCUUACUUCUGUUGAGGUCUUUAUUUGAUACUUUAAGACUAUGAUGUAAAUGAUAAGAUUCUUCAGUAUCAUAGUGAACAGGUGUGUUGACGAUAAUGAUUGUUGGAGUAUCAGCUCUUCUUACGGUCCUUCUAGUGGAAGACGUAUGUGGUCGUGGUGCAGGCAGACGCGGAUCUCCUAGUGGUUCAUGAGAGAAUGCUGAGGCAAUAUAUAUUGGUUGCUUUGUGGGAGGUUACUUUAUAGUAGGAAUCACCAUGCUACUAACUUACUUCUGUUGCAAACGAAGGCUACGUCGAAUGCAAGCUGCUGAGCAUAUUUCCAGUUUUUCCAGUGAGACAGAAAUGAUCAACGGAUAUAUGUAUUUUGUCCAUGAUAAACGUGAACCAAAUGUCAAGCCAUCAUCUGAGCCAGAAUCCAAGAGUACCUUCCCCUUUGAACCCGUUCGAAACCAGCCUCUAAACUAUAUAUAGCCAGUAAUUUUUCUGUGUUAAAUCAGUUUGUUACAUUUUCCUUUAUUUUUAUAUCCUGGUGAAAAGGUGAUUUCAGGAAUAUCAUCGUGUUAAUGGUUAUCAUUUGGAGGAUUUAUGUCUAUCUUACUCAAAUCUAUGAAUAUCUUACUCAAAUCUAUGAAUAUCUUACUCAAAUCUAUGAAUAUCUAAAAGCAUUACUUAAUUCAAUACAAAUCUUGUCACCUAUUCCUUCAAAAAUAAAGUGUAGAACGUCUUGCAGUUGGGUGUUCAUCAGCCAAGUUGUGCAACCACCGCUUCUAUCUUUAACUAAUUAAAAAAUAAUAAGUUUUUAUAAAAUGAAAGUUUAUAAAUAGAUAGUGUAUAUUUUGUAUCUUAUACAUAUCUGUCAAUCAACCGCCCUGAAUCGACUAUAGGUACAUGGGGAAAGGAACCCCUGUGGUAUUUUCAAAACUGUAUUUUGUUUUUGAAUCGCCUGUAUAUCUCAAAGACUUUCUUAAUAAUUAUACAACUCAACCCCUACUGCGUUCUCCAUAUCUUCACCUGACAUGCCAAAAAGUAAAACACUUCUUAAUCAACCCUCUUCUCGGUGGUAGCACAAAAACUGUAGCACGAUAUCUACUUUAAAACAAGGACCAGUUCUCAAUCCAAUUUUGUUUUGCCAAAUAUUUUUAAAAAUUAUGUUAUAUCUGUAUUGUGCUGUUUUUCAUAAUAGCCUACUUAACUUGUCUCAGUGUGUAUGCUUUAUUUUUAUACAAUGUGUUUAUGAUCAGAUAUUUAUUUUGCACAAGCCUUACAGAGCAGCUUCAAAAGCUGGAUUUUGGCGCUGUACAGAGUUAAUAAAUUAUUAUUACUAUUAAUAUUUUUAUAGGGUCUCCUAGUGACAAAGUUAAAACGUUGAAUGAAAUGUGUCACAUUAAAGGAGCUAAAUCGCUAAUAUUUGGGACCUAGAAAUUGACCCAAAUGGGUCGCAACGCAUAUAAUAA